AUUGAACGCUGGCGGCAUGCCUUACACAUGCAAGUCGAACGGCAGCACGGGAGCAAUCCUGGUGGCGAGUGGCGAACGGGUGAGUAAUAUAUCGGAUCGUGCCCAGUCGUGGGGGAUAACGUAGCGAAAGCUACGCUAAUACCGCAUACGAUCUAUGGAUGAAAGCGGGGGAUCGCAAGACCUCGCGCGAUUGGAGCGGCCGAUAUCAGAUUAGGUAGUUGGUGAGGUAAAGGCUCACCAAGCCGACGAUCUGUAGCUGGUCUGAGAGGACGACCAGCCACACUGGGACUGAGACACGGCCCAGACUCCUACGGGAGGCAGCAGUGGGGAAUUUUGGACAAUGGGCGCAAGCCUGAUCCAGCAAUGCCGCGUGCAGGAUGAAGGCCUUCGGGUUGUAAACUGCUUUUGUACGGAACGAAACGGCGAGCUCUAAUACAGUUUGCUAAUGACGGUACCGUAAGAAUAAGCACCGGCUAACUACGUGCCAGCCGCCGUAAAAC
rnacentral:rRNA from 1 species